rnacentral:rRNA from 1 species
CAAUAGCGUAUAUUAAAGUUGUUGCAGUUAAAAAGCUCGUAGUUGGAUUUGUGGUGGUCCCUGUGGUCCAAAAUUGGUACUUUCGGGGACUGCCAUCCUUGGGUGGAUCCUGUGUGGCAUUAGGUUGUCGUGCAGGGGAUGCCCAUCGUUUACUGUGAAAAAAUUAGAGUGUUCAAAGCAGGCUUAUGCCGAUGAAUAGAUUAGCAUGGAAUAAUAAGAUAGGACCUCGGUACUAUUUUGUUGGUUUGCGCACUGAGGUAAUGAUUAACAGGGACAGUUGUGGGUAUUCGUAUUGCAUUGUCAGAGGUGAAAUUCUUGGAUUUCUGCAAGACGAACUAAUGCGAAAGCAUUUACCAAGGAUGUUUUCAUUAA